AUGCUGCAAAUUCAAUCCACAACGGAAGUGCACCGGACACGAAGAAGAAGAAGAAGGAGAAGAAGAAGAAGAAGAAGAAGAAAGAAAAAUAAGGGGCGCGAUUUCUUUCAGUGUGAAAAGUCUGCCAUGUUUUGCCCUUUUUGCGGACAAGAUCUGGGAACAGUUCAAGUCUUCUGUCAUUCAUGUGGCAAAAAUGUACAAUUCUUGGCACAAGCUGAAGACAACAGUUCAGCAUCGAACAGCCCCACAGAAGAGGACCUGAUUAGAAAAUAUUUCCAUGCUGGCUACAGCAACAAUGAAAUUUUGGAUUUUCUGGGAACCAUUCAUAAUGUUAAAUUGAGUCUUCGUUCCCUAAUAUAUAAA